CAGAGGAGAGAAUGGACUUAGCUGGUUAAUCACUUGCCCAGGGCCAUAGUGAGUCAGUGACAGAGCCAGGCUAGGAACCAAGAUCUUUUAUGUACCUGUUGGGUGGCCACCACUGAAACAUGCUGUGCCACUAGGACAUAAGAGAAGAUUCAAAAGAAGAUAUCUUUGGUAGAUAGCACAUUAUCCACCAUCUGCUGUUUGUGAGUGAGGGACAGCAACUGCGAAUGUCGUAACAGCAUUUAUUUUGGAAUCUCUAGCAGAUUGUGUGGCAAGAAUCAGCUGGGAGUCUUAUCCAAACAAAUCAGGGAAGCCUCAGGCCAGCUUAGCAGGCUCAACUCCAAACCAAGAAGAUAAAACCAGAGCAAACAACCAGAGCAGCUUGUAUAUCCAGAGCUCCCUGCUCUACCUUCUGGUCACCGAACCCAACCCCUGCCUCAGCUGUGAAAAGGCUGCUGGGAACACUUGUAACAGGAUCAGAGAGGAGCAUCACAGAUGGUUACAAAACUGUGGUUGUGCUCCUAGUGUAGGCAGAGCCUGGGGCAUUUGCACAUUAACUGUCCUGUGAGACCCUAACUGCAGGUGGCAAAGAGUUCUCCGGAAGGGACCAAACAAGUGAGGGAGGAUAUGGGAAUAGUCUCUGGAGGAAGUGCAGGUGUGGCACUCUGCCUGGAGAACCCCUUUUAAGCGUGGCAUUAGUGAUGGGGGGGUGGGAGGGAGAGCUGGGGUUGAGAGGCACAGA